GUUGGGUAGGGGAGCGUUCUGUAAGCCGUUGAAGGUGGCCUGUGAGGGUUGCUGGAGGUAUCAGAAGUGCGAAUGCUGACAUAAGUAACGAUAAAGCGGGUGAAAAGCCCGCUCGCCGGAAGACCAAGGGUUCCUGUCCAACGUUAAUCGGGGCAGGGUGAGUCGACCCCUAAGGCGAGGCCGAAAGGCGUAGUCGAUGGGAAACGGGUUAAUAUUCCCGUACUUGGUGUUACUGCGAAGGGGGGACGGAGAAGGCUAUGUUGGCCGGGCGACGGUUGUCCCGGUUUAAGCGUGUAGGUGUGUGUUCCAGGUAAAUCCGGUUCACUUUAACACUGAGGCGUGAUGACGAGGCACCACGGUGCUGAAGCAACAAAUGCCCUGCUUCCAGGAAAAGCCUCUAAGCCUCAGGUAACAUCAAAUCGUACCCCAAACCGACACAGGUGGUCAGGUAGAGAAUACCAAGGCGCUUGAGAGAACUCGGGUGAAGGAACUAGGCAAAAUGGUGCCGUAACUUCGGGAGAAGGCACGCUGACACGUAGGUGAAGUGGUUUACCCAUGGAGCUGAAGUCAGUCGAAGAUACCAGCUGGCUGCAACUGUUUAUUAAAAACACAGCACUGUGCAAACACGAAAGUGGACGUAUACGGUGUGACGCCUGCCCGGUGCCGGAAGGUUAAUUGAUGGGGUCAGCGCAAGCGAAGCUCCUGAUCGAAGCCCCGGUAAACGGCGGCCGUAACUAUAACGGUCCUAAGGUAGCGAAAUUCCUUGUCGGGUAAGUUCCGACCUGCACGAAUGGCGUAAUGAUGGCCAGGCUGUCUCCACCCGGGACUCAGUGAAAUUGAACUCGCUGUGAAGAUGCAGUGUACCCGCGGCAAGACGGAAAGACCCCGUGAACCUUUACUAUAGCUUGACACUGAACACUGGUCCUUGAUGUGCAGGAUAGGUGGGAGGCUUUGAAGUGUGGACGCCAGUCUGCAUGGAGCCAUCCUUGAAAUACCACCCUUUAAUGGCUGGUGUUCUAACGUGGGCCCGUGAACCGGGUUGCGGACAGUGUCUGGUGGGUAGUUUGACUGGGGCGGUCUCCUCCUAAAGAGUAACGGAGGAGCACGAAGGUUGGCUAAUCCUGGUCGGACAUCAGGAGGUUAGUGCAAUGGCAUAAGCCAGCUUGACUGCGAGCGUGACGGCGCGAGCAGGUGCGAAAGCAGGUCAUAGUGAUCCGGUGGUUCUGAAUGGAAGGGCCAUCGCUCAACGGAUAAAAGGUACUCCGGGGAUAACAGGCUGAUACCGCCCAAGAGUUCAUAUCGACGGCGGUGUUUGGCACCUCGAUGUCGGCUCAUCACAUCCUGGGGCUGAAGUAGGUCCCAAGGGUAUGGCUGUUCGCCAUUUAAAGUGGUACGCGAGCUGGGUUUAGAACGUCGUGAGACAGUUCGGUCCCUAUCUGCCGUGGGCGCUGGAAGAUUGAGGGGGGCUGCUCCUAGUACGAGAGGACCGGAGUGGACGCAUCACUGGUGUUCGGGUUGUCAUGCCAAUGGCACUGCCCGGUAGCUACAUGCGGAAGAGAUAAGUGCUGAAAGCAUCUAAGCACGAAACUUGCCCCGAGAUGAAUCUUCCCUGAGCCUUUAAGGCUCCUGAAGGAACGUUGA
rnacentral:rRNA from 1 species